UCUUAUCUGAGCUGAGAAAAAGGGUUUAUCGUUAGGGUUUUUGAUCUUCUCCGGCCAAAAAGCAACCCCAGUAUCCUUCCUUAUGGAAGGUAUGGUCGGCUGCUCCGGUUACGGGUUAGCUUCGAAUUGCCUAAUUGUUAUUUGCCCUUUGUUUUCUGCGAUGAAGACUGCUUGCUGCCUGAGCGUACGAUUUACUCGGCGCUGUGAUGGCUAAUGCGAGCUUUAUCAACCCCAACAAUACAUAUGUGUUUUUUAAAGUUUUUAGAUUUGAUUUCAAGGUUUCUUCUUCUCCUUUUUUGUUUUGUUUUUGGUCCGUCCCAUUGAUGAUCCGAAUCUGUGGAUUCUGGUAUAUUAAGUUUUCAAAACUUCUUCAUUGCUGUUUUUUUCAAUCUCGAUUUGAGGAAAAAAAACAAAAAUUCUUUUUUCCCACCGUUUUGUUCUUACCAGCCAGAUGAUUACAAAUACUUGUUGUUCCUAAUUAACUUGUAAUUUGUAAUUCUUUGUAGCCUGCAAUACAGAGUACAUAGUCUAUUGCUUCUGUUUAUAGUUUCCUAAACACUCUCAGAGGUUAAAACAACGAUUAGAUGCAAGUAAAGAGUUAUAUAGAAGAACCUAAUAAAAUAAAGUCAUGUUGGAUUCUAGGAAGAUAAGAAGCUUAUAUUCAGACAGCAGCUGAUUUUUUCCCAUCUCUGACUUCUUCUCUUAAUGUGUCUUCUUUGAUUGUUGUUGUUGCAAG
rnacentral:lncRNA from 1 species